rnacentral:rRNA from 1 species
AAAAGAGCAGAGAAGGAAAAUAGAACAACUUUG